rnacentral:rRNA from 1 species
CAAGUCGAGGGGCAGCAUGAUUUGUAGCAAUACAGAUUGAUGGCCGACCGGCGCACGGUGAGUAACGCGUAUGCAACUUACCUAUCGAGAGGGGGGAUAGCCCGGACGAAAGUCGGAUUAAUACCCCAUAAAACAGGGGUCCCGCAUGGGAUAUUUGUUAAAGAUUCAUCGCUGAUAGAUAGGCAUGCGUUCCAUUAGGUAGUAGGCGGGGUAACGGCCCACCUAGCCGACGAUGGAUAGGGGUUCUGAGAGGAAGGUCCCCCACAUUGGAACUGAGACACGGUCCAAACUCCUACGGGAGGCAGCAGUGAGGAAUAUUGGUCAAUGGACGAGAGUCUGAACCAGCCAAGUAGCGUGAAGGAUGAAGGUCCUACGGAUUGUAAACUUCUUUUAUAAGGGAAUAAACCCUCCCACGUGUGGGAGCUUGUAUGUACCUUAUGAAUAAGCAUCGGCUAACUCCGUG